CCCGACCCAUUUUUAACCUACUUACCUUGAGUUUUGAAGCACGCCUCCUCUUGUUUCCUGUUGUUUGAAAAAAUCAGCUGCUAAUUAUCUGGGAGCUCAUCAGCGAGGCUGCGAAUCCGUUGAUUGGUGGGAUGCUUAUGGAGGUCGUGCAAUUGAGCUUCAAUCAUUUGCAAAGCGUAUUGUUGGUUUAUGUUGUUCAUCUUCCGGUUGUGAACGGAAUUGGAGUACAUUUGAAUUCAUACAUACAAAGAAGAGGAAUAGGUUGGAACAUCAACGUUUAAAUGAUUUGGUGUAUGUUCAAUACAACCGGAAGAUUGAUUCCCGAUUCAAAAAGAUGCGUGAACUUGGAGAAAAAUAUAAUCCACUAAUAUUUGAAGACU